rnacentral:snRNA from 1 species
AUCGCUUCUCGGCUCUCUGAGCUAAGAUCAAAGUGUAGUAUCUGUUCUUAUCAGCUUAAUAUCUGAUACAGUCCCCAUAGGGGGCUCAGUAUAUUAAUCUAUUUUUUGGGACCAGGCGGGUGCUCGGAGCUUGCUCCGACCUUGCCACGGGUCGACCCUGCAUUGCAUUGCAGCAGGGUACGGCCCAGCAGUG